rnacentral:rRNA from 1 species
GACGAACGCUGGCGGCGUGCCUAAUACAUGCAAGUUGAGCGCUGAAGGUUGGUACUUGUACCGACUGGAUGAGCAGCGAACGGGUGAGUAACGCGUGUGGAAUCUGCCUUUGAGCGGGGUACAACAUGUGGAAACGAAUGCUAAUACCGCAUAAAAACUUUAAACACAAGUCUUAAGGUUGAAAGAUGCAAUUGCAUCACUCAAAGAUGAUCCCGCGUUGUAUUAGCUUGUUGGUGAGGUAAAGGCUCACCAAGGCGAUGAUACAUAGCCGACCUGAGAGGAUGAUCGGCCACAUUGGGACUGAGACCCGGCACAUACUCCUACGGGAGGCAGCAGUAGGGAAUCUUCGGGAAUGGGCGAAAGUCUGACCGAGAAAGGCCGAGGGCGUGAAGAGGGUCUUCGGAUCGUAAAACUCUGUUGGUAGAGAAGAACGUUGGUGAGAGUGGAAAGCUCAUCAAGUGACGGUAACUAGCAAGAAAGGGACGGCUAACUACGUG